rnacentral:lncRNA from 1 species
CCCAGAAAAUGGACUCUGCGUUGCCAUUAAUGCAGAACGUGAACUGUGUAAUGCUGAGAGGGAAGCCAAUGUUCUGAGCACUGGCUCCAGGGAACACAUUGUCAAACAAAUUCAGAGUGUGAAUGUGCGACCUGUUGGAUGUGAGCGCCUUCUUUUAAAGCAGACUUGCAAUUUCCUAAUCUCUCACUUGCCUGGGAUUGUGGGAGCUGUACUUGAAAAAUCUCUAGAAUCUGGGAAUGUCUUGCGAAGAACUAAAUUCAAAACCCAAGCAAGUUCCAGGAAAAUGAAGUCCCAACAUCUGGAAAUAUUGAUGUCAGGAAAAGACCCUUCAGCGUUCCCGUAAGUACGUCUCGUCCUGGGCUUGGAGGACGCCUUCUGAUUUGAGGGCUCCAUCCCUGGAUGCUAGCAGAGCAGAGCCACAGUGGGAUUUUCCAUCUGCACCUGGAAUCUGGC